UUUUAGCAUAGAUUUUCAUGUGGGUAUUAUUUAUUUUUAAGUUUUAUUUUGAUUUGGAUAUAUCUUCAUGUGGCAUUUUGGAUGCUUCAUAUACUGUUGUAGAUUCAAGAUGCUGCAAAGAAAUUUGAGGGUGAUCAAGCUGAAAGUUAAAGCUGCAGUUUGAGCCAAAACAAUGGGGAUUUGAUUAAAGAAGGAAAUGCAUUAUUUUAGAAGAAUUAUAGCAUUGGAAAAAGAGUUGUGAUGAAGAACCGAUGGUGGUGAUAAGAAGAAUGGUCAAGUUCCACACAACUUCGGAAUACAAAUGACACAAAUCAAACUGAAAUUGGGAAAAUGAAUUCGGUACAGAAAACAGGAGUCCAGCUCAACUUCGACAAGUUAUUGCUAAUUCUGAAGCAGAGCUAGCAGCCAUAUAUUCUUUUAUGGGAGAACAACUCGUGCACAUUAGACAGGUUUAACACCAGUAGAGAAGCUCCUCGACUUGUAUCAUGGUAGAUGGGAACAAAAUGUGGUUAAUGUAUUUGAGAAGCUACUCUACUAAAAUGCCUGACUUCUUGGCCAUAUUUGUGUAUGUAUCUCUUCUCGAUAUCUAUAGAGAAAUUAUUUGAACAUUUAUCAAUAGAAAUAUGGGGUGGAUCACUUAUCCCAAGCUACACUGAUGGACAACAGGCUGCUAGAUCAUCCGAAUCUCGUGAAGUGGAUUGUUUAGAAGAUGAUCACAAGAUGAUAGUGUAUGAGAGGGUAACCUUCAUAUUUAUGUCGUUUAUGAAGAUUAACAAGUCACUGGUGCGGUUGCCAAUUCUCUGGCACUAAUAAGGUGAAUUGGUCCCUUGCUACUGGUAGACCUGUGGUGCAUCAUGGUAGCUUAAAUUUUGCUUGCCACACACUAAUGUAAAAGAAGCUACAAAGAGAGUUGUUUGAGCUACUGGCCAUGACUUUGUCGUCUGACAUUUCAAAUAGAGUUAAAUGGACCAGGAGCUUUUGAGAUCGUAUGCAACUAAUUUCAUGUUUUGUAUCCAUAGAGAUAUGGGUUGUGUUCAAUUUGUAUCUUUGAGAUUAUAAAGACUAAUUGUAUAAGUGUAGUGCUCUGAAAGUGAUUGUCCGAGUAAGCUUUAUUGUAAAAUCACAUCUUGAUGAUUAAGCCUUGUGAAUUUAGUUUGAUAUUAUAGCUUAAGUUUGCCAGCAAUUUUAA